GCAUUCUUACGGCCAUUUUGUUGGCAGAAACCUGCCCCAAAGUCUGGUUUCUUGGAAAAUACACUGUAAUUGGCCUUAAAGAGAGUUAUGUGACAGUGUGGGGGGGAAACAGCAUCAGAACUCUGGAAUUGGGCUGUAAGUAAUUUGGGAGGAGCAUCUGAUCUCUGAAUGCAAAACAACUGUUUGUUAAGUGAGCAAUAUGUCAACCUAGGCCGAAGCCACCAGAACUAACAGUGGUGAACGCAUGUAAGCAGGGUAGAGAAAAGCCAGGAAAAAGAACCAAGGCAUGAAGGAAAGAACAAAAGUUUGGCCUGAGCACAUAGCAAGCCCCUCACCACAUUUGGCAACCAAGGAGUUGGGCCUGCAUGGGAAGCCUCUCCCAUCAACACUGAGGGAUCAAAAGAGAUCCUGAGGCCUGCCCAGACUUUGGGGUCAUUUUUGGAUCAGGACUUGGCAGCUUCUGUCCCUCUGGCUAAUGCCAAGCAACCUAGUUGUGGAUGUGGGAUUCCUCUGAAACCCCCACAAGCGAAGAGGGUGGCAGCUUCACCAACCCGUUGCUCCAGCAGCCAGAAACUACAGAACAGAACUUACCACAGAAGAAAAAGGGAAACCAUCUCCAUGCAAAAGGAGGUAAAACAUUGCCUAAAAAAGAAACCUCAGCAGAAGACCACAUUUAUCACUGACCAUCACAUGGCUUGUCGUCUAUUGUCAGCAAGACACCAUGACAUUAAAGAACUGAAAAAUGAAGUGGCUGUUCUGUGGAAUAAAUUGGAGACAUUUACUGUGGAAAAUAAAAUCUUGAAGCAUAUUCAAUCU